rnacentral:rRNA from 1 species
AUUGAACGCUGGCGGCAUGCCUUACACAUGCAAGUCGAACGGCAGCACGGGAGCAAUCCUGGUGGCGAGUGGCGAACGGGUGAGUAAUGUAUCGGAACGUGCCCAGUCGUGGGGGAUAACGUAGCGAAAGCUACGCUAAUACCGCACACGAUCUAUGGAUGAAAGCGGGGGACCGGACGCCCUCGCGCGAUUGGAGCGGCCGUUAUCAGAUUAGGUAGUUGGAGGGGUAAAGGCCUACCAAGCCGACGAUCUGUAGCUGGUCUGAGAGGACGACCAGCCACACUGGGACUGAGACACGGCCCAGACUCCUACGGGAGGCAGCAGUGGGGAAUUUUGGACAAUGGGCGCAAGCCUGAUCCAGCAAUGCCGCGUGCAGGAUGAAGGCCUUCGGGUUGUAAACUGCUUUUGUACGGAGCGAAAAGGCUCUCUCUAAUACAGGGGGCUCAUGACGGUACCGUAAGAAUAAGCACCGGCUAACUACGUGCCAGCCGCCGCCGUAAAAC